rnacentral:rRNA from 1 species
AGUGAACGCUGGCGGUAGGCCUAACACAUGCAAGUCGAACGGCAGCACAGUAAGAGCUUGCUCUUACGGGUGGCGAGUGGCGGACGGGUGAGGAAUACAUCGGAAUCUACUUUUUCGUGGGGGAUAACGUAGGGAAACUUACGCUAAUACCGCAUACGACCUACGGGUGAAAGCAGGGGAUCUUCGGACCUUGCGCGAUUGAAUGAGCCGAUGUCGGAUUAGCUAGUUGGCGGGGUAAAGGCCCACCAAGGCGACGAUCCGGAGCUGGUCUGAGAGGAUGAUCAGCCACACUAGAACUGAGACACGGUCCAGACUCCUACGGGAGGCAGCAGUGGGGAAUAUUGGACAAUGGGCGCAAGCCUGAUCCAGCCAUACCGCGUGGGUGAAGAAGGCCUUCGGGUUGUAAAGCCCUUUUGUUGGGAAAGAAAAGCAGCAGGUUAAUACCCCGCUGUUCUGACGGUACCCAAAGAAUAAGCACCGGCUAACUUCGUG